AACGUGAUCAGCAACUGCAUAGUCAGAAAAUAUGUUGCUCCUGUUGUCAGCGCUGAUUAAAGUGUAGCUAUAACUACUGUUUGAAAUGAAUUGUCAUUACUGAAUUCUGGAUAAAUGAGUUCUUAAGCCUGACAAGGACCAAAUGUGACCACUUGUCUAUAGUAAGCAUGAGCCAGUUGGGGACGUAAGGUUCCGUCGUCCUUGAAUUUUAAACAACGUGGAAUGUAAAUCAGAUUCCCGUUUAAGCCCAGCAUGACUGUGGCAGGUCUCAGGCUGCACAGCACCUUGGCAAUACAUUCAUUUACACAGCAGUGGCACCUCUCUUUAUAACAGGAGUCAGUGGUUGUGACACACAGGACAUUUAUUUUCCAGUUGGCUAAGCAGCAGCAUUAGAGCUACAUGAGAUGCAUGCAGUUAAGGUGCAAUCCCAUGCCAAAACCAUGAUGUAUAGACUGCAUUGGCCCAGCAGCUGAUGGGUUAUCUAUCACAGUGUUAAGGAAGAAGUUGCUGUUAAAUCAACUCUGCUUGAAAAACUCUUGCAAGUUACCUCACUGGGAAUCAUCAAACUUGCCAUUUUGGAGAAUACAGAUCAUUGUCAGCCAUAGGUACGGCCUCACAGAAAAUAAGAGACACUGCAGUGAAUCAGCCCCCAGACGUAUCACAGGUCUGCAUUUGCAUGCAAGAGGCUUCUGAAGAGACCUUCAGUACAGCUCUGCGGAGACACCGCCUGUGCUGGGGUGAGGAACCCCCUGGCAGAAGUGAGUGAGUGCGUGAACAAGGGGAGGAGUGAAAGACUGCCUGUCAGGUGAGCUCCCUUUGCUGGCAAUGAGGAGCUGUGGUUGAGUGACUCACUGGCUGGCCGUCACGGGAAUGUCUGAGAGCAGGACGAUGUGGGCAUGCUGCGGACAGACCACAAGCCAUGCACUGUUUAGAUUCAUCUGCUACUGCUUUAGGGAAUCACAGCAAAUUACGAUGGCAAGCUUAAAACAACCUGGAAAUUAUAAAACUUUAUUUUAAAUCCAGGGUGAAUACAAAUCUUAUCAUUUUCAUAUUCAUCCUUUAUUCGGCCUCUAUGCUCUGAGCCCAACAAAAAGCUGCAAAACUGCCUAUCACCAAGGAAUGGAAAAAGGAUCUCAUGACACGACAGACUUUGAAGCAGGUUAAAGCCUUCACAUGAAGUACUCUACAUUCCAUAGUCUUCAUCUACAUUCUUCAAUCCAAAGACAAGUAAAAUCAGUAAGAAGUCUUUCCACUGCUUGCAGCUCAUUGAGAUUGAAGCCUUUGGAUCACUUUUUUAUGCUGCUGCUCCACCUAUUUGUGGGGUUGUGCAUGCAGUUUACAUGAACACACUCCUUCUUGCUGAAAACUGCUAGGCAGGUCCUUCUGUCAUUGUCUCCAUGUCACUCCAGCCCAGGACUUCUUGCUUCUGCCCUGGAAUGUAGCAGCAUCUGAGCUACUGCUAUGUAUGCUUAGCUUGCCUCAAGAAGAAAAACCUUUCAUUAGGAAUCUAACAUAAGGUUUGUAUGAUGACAACUUAAGUCACUGGCUUCCUCUGACCUCCUCAUGCCUUUGUUUAGCCCAGAGUCUUGCAGGCUAUUUGGGACAGCUACAGUUCAGCAGCUCUACAGGAGCUCAAAGAAGUCAUUCACAUCGCCUUCAUUUGUCCUGUUGUAAACUAUGUUUUAAUUGUUUUUAAGCCCCUACCAGGCCCUUCUUGUCUGAGCCCCUUAGUUACCAGGUCACAUUCAAUCUUCUCUGAUAUAGACAAAGCUUUGUACUGGUUGAGCUUGCCUCUCUACAGUAUGCUUGCGUUACAACCAGCCUUGUGGCAAGAUCAGUUCAGACUGUGCUCAGCACUGCGUUUAAGCCCAGGUGUUUAACUUUUCACUGGGAUCUGAUUCAUCCUUUCUGGAAUAACCUAGCUUUUCUGGUCUCCUCUAGUUCACAAGUUCCUACCCCACUGCAGCCUGCAGCAGGGGGCCUUGCAUACCAUUACCCAGCAGGCCUACUUUCCUGAAACAGGUUUCUAUCCCACCUAAAAUGGGCACAAGCUUUGUCUGUUUUUGCCUGAGGUUGUUAGGCACAGUGCCACAACUUGGCAUAUGCUCAGAGGGUAACUGAGACUCCUCAGAGGUCCUUUGGCUAACUCCUCCUCAGAGCAGGGUCAGUGCCCAAGCAUCCUGAUGCAAACCUCAGACAGACACAUUACAGACUGACAUUAAACACCUCUGCAGACACCUUUUACUAUUGGAGAAAAAGUGAUGGAAAUGAAAGACUAGCAUUUUUCUCCCUACCUCCUUUUUUUUUUUUUUUUUAAGUUUGUAAUUUUCAUUUCACCACCUUCCACCACAAACUUUGAAAGAGCAGCAGACAGAGGAACCUAUACACAUACUCACAACCUCUGACACUGGUGUGGCUGGAAGCUGCUCCAAGUAUAUCAUUAAAAGUAGUAUUCUGCCCUUUUUUAAUCCAAAGAACCAGAAUCUGCUGUUCUGUGUGCCUAGCUGGUCUUUGAACAGUUGUUUACUCUAAUUGUCGACCUCAGAUUCUACUUUUUAGCACAGCAGUCUGAGCAAGGCUUGUUUUCUCUCUGUGAUCUAGAGAGCAGGGCCCCAGGCUGCCCAGCUAGGGUCAUCCCAAGCUGAUGGGGCCUGCUGGAAGCUAAGCACAGGCAGUGACCUUUGACGUCAUUAAGUAGCUGCUGCAGUCAUGGGUGCUUUUCCCAUCAACCAUGGCUCCUCUUUCCUUCGUCUCAGACUGCUUCCAUGUACUUCUCAUCCCUUCCACUAAUGCUGAUGGGCUUGUCUGCCUGGAUUAUGUAUAAUUACGAAAACUUUAAGACGUUUCAAAGCUAAUUCAAGUCAGGAGGAGCUCUAUUUUGCCAAUAUGAAGCUUUUUCCUUCAGCUUUCAUACAUCUGAGCAGCAUAUAGUGUAACAGUGAAAAACCAGGAUCCACUGCUAAAGUUUAUUUUUGUAGAGGUUAGUGUUCUUGGCAUAUGACAUAGCCAUGCUGCGAGAGUUUUCAAAUAUUAGUUGUAAUAUUUACUUUGCUUUUGUGAAGAAUGUGUUAGUUUAAACAUGUCUUCUCCUGAAAGUAAAGUGAAAUAGUUAAAUGUAUUUUUUCAGUUUUAUGGUCCUUUCCACCUAAUUUCCUCUGUAGUUUAUUUAUUUUCAGUGUACAGGGCAUUGCUCAAAGAAACAAGUAAUUUGUGAGGAAUAGUACAUUUUAAAAGUUCAAUGGGUAUUUUAAUUGUUUUGUAGACAAGAUAUAUUUAUUUCCCUGAGGAGGAAAAUAAUUGUAACAGCAUAGUACGGAGAUUUUCAUAUCUUGAAAAAAAAUCUUGUAUUUCUGAAUCAAUUAUUUUAUGUGAGGGUAACUGUGAAACUGCCAAAUAUCCCAGUAGAGAUUUCUGCUAGUUCAGGAAAAUGGAAUUCAAGACUAUGCAAAUCUGUGCAACUAAUUUUAGUAUGACAGUUAUGUCAGCAACUUGAAAAUAAGCCAAAUCCUACUUGCCUUCAGCAUUUUGCUGGAUAUGGCAGUGGUCAAUAGUGACAGACUGACAUUAGAUUUUUGCCAAAAUGAAUCCAAAUUUCAUUGUGACUUAAUGCCCACCCCCCCCUUAAA